GAUACCUGUCAGGUUAAAAUUGUCUGUUUUAUGUGUAGGCGGGUGUGGUAGUA
rnacentral:tRNA from 1 species